GUACACGCUGUGACUAGCAUAUCAAUAAGCGGAGGAAAAGAAACUAACAAGGAUUCCCUUAGUAACGGCGAGUGAAGCGGGAAGAGCUCAAAUUUGAAAUCUUCAAGGUUCUACCUUGACGAAUUGUAGUUUAAAGAAGUGUUUUCUGCUGAAGUUUUGGUAAAAGUUCUUUGGAAUAGGACAUCAUAGAGGGUGAGAAUCCCGUAUUUGACCAUUAUUUUCAGCUUUGUGAUACACUUUCAAAGAGUCGGAUUGUUUGGGAAUGCAGUCCAAAAUGGGUGGUAAAUUUCAUCUAAAGCUAAAUAUUGGCGAGAGACCGAUAGCGAACAAGUACCGUGAGGGAAAGAUGAAAAGAACUUUGAAAGAGAGUUAAACAGUACGUGAAAUUGUCAAAAGGGAAGCGUUUGACACCAGUGUUGUUUUCUCGAAAAUCAAUUAAAAAAUGGCUAGGAUUUUGUAUUGCUUGAGACCUUAUAAGCUUCACUGUACAUCUUUUCUUGUCUUUUUUAAUGCACUUCUCGUUCAACAAGUCAACAUCAGUUUCCUUUGUUGUAAAAGGGUCAUUGGAAGGUGGCUUUCUUUUCGGAGAAAGUGUUUAUAGCCUCUGGCCUCUGCAAUCGGAGAGACUGAGGUCUGCAGCGUAGACUCUUCGGGGUUAGAUACAUUUGUGCUAGGUUAUAGCUCUUUAUAGACAACUUGUUGACUAUAAUUAGUCUUGUAGCUUACUCGCUUAUGCUAUUUUACCUACGCUUAGGAUGUUGAUCUACAGAGCGAGAGU
rnacentral:rRNA from 1 species